GGGGCCGUCAUGGUUUUGACGGAGAAGAUCCAAAUAGCGGUUGCAGUGGCCUGGUAAACCGAAAGACCAAACAACAAUACCUGACAACACUGUCAAACCUUGGAUGCUCAACAAUCGUGCAUCCGCUCUCGCUCGCGCCUAAUUAGAGCACCCGAAAUAGGGUUCCCGCCACGUCGGGACGAACGCAUCGCCCUUCCAGCGCGCUAAUGGAAGGUUCCGGUGUAACAUCUAGCGCUAAGUCAGGCCGCGUGGUUAUCGCGGUUUGAUCGAAAACCUCUAACCCCACUCAGGAGACUAGGCAAUAUGGUUGCUCCUGAGCCAGAGACGAAUUUGCCUAAACUGUAGGCGCCGUUAGGGGGACUUCUUCGGACCCGGGUUCGACUCCCGGCGACUCCACCA
rnacentral:tmRNA from 1 species